ACAGAUUUCCAGCUUCUACGACGCUCUGCCUAAAUUAAAAAGCAACCAAUCGGAACGGCCGGAAGGGGGGCCAGGCGUCCUAAGCCAGUCAUUCCAGGCCUGCCAAUCACUCAGCGGGUAACCAAUCAGCAGGGGCCCUGGUGCUCGACUUCCUUGUAUUUGGGAAAGUGUGGUGGUGGGUGCGCGCUUGCGGCGGAGGGUAAACAUUCGACAGUCCCUGCUCUGAGAGGGAGGGACAGAGAGCGAACUGUCAGAUCCUAGCGGGAGCGGGCGCUCGAGAGAGAGAGAGAGAGAGAGAGAGAGAGAGAGAGAGAGAGAGAGAGAGAGAGAGAGAGAGAGAGAGAACCUGGGCGCAGAGCUAGCUCCCGCUGCAACUCUGCCCCGGCACUCCUGCUCCCGCGCCCGCCGUCGGGUACUCUAGGAGCGGUACAACGUGCCCACAGGAGUUGGUUGUGUAUCAAGGAUCCCCUGUACGCACAUACACAUCUCCACCUCCACCAAUGCACUCUUCUUCCUCCUCCUUCUCCAGACAACUGCCGGGGAAAAAAUAAAACAUCAACCCCAACCUUCAGCAGCAAGGAAAGAUGUCGCACCAGACUGUGAGUGUUGCGAGGAAAAUGAAAAGGGACGCUUGUUUCAGAAACAUCCGAGAGCUCCUGCAAUAACAACUUCAGAGAAAUGCACCAUCGCAAGAAGUUUUCCUAGGACAAAACAAAACUUGAAAGGAGAGAACCAGAGGGGGAGAGCAGGAGCCAGCCUCCCCACUUCGCAGACGCGAGCCGCCAGCAUCACCACGCCUGUAAGAACCGGAAAAGUUUUACUAUAGUAAGGAGAAACAGUAAGAUGUGUUGCUGAAGAACGGGGAAGACAGCGGACCAACAAGGAAAGGCCGGAUUUCUGGCCACCCACAAUUUGGCCAAGGAAGAAAGGAACCGCUUCGUCCUUUGUUGUCUCCGGUAAAACCUUCGCUUAGCAGGUGGACAGAGCCCUGUGCCCGGGCAGAGUCCGCACCCGCCCGAGGACAGGAGCAGCAGCGGAGCCCCUGCUCCCGGAGAGAGCGCCCGAAGUACGGGUCCCCGCCCCAGUGGGCGAGCCUCGCUGGAGUCAGCCGAUUGCUCCCGGCCAGGGGGGAGACCACGACCCCCCCUGAAGGGGCUGGCCACGGAGCUCGCCCGGAGAAGCGAUCCCCCCUCCCCAGGGCACUGCUCCUGCUGCGGCGGCUGCUGCUGCUGACCGAGGCCAGUCAGCGACCCCCGCGCCUUGCCAAGC
ensembl:lncRNA